CACUCCUCCAAGAUCCUAGAGUCUAAGACUCCCUGGACUGAGUCCCAGGUGGAGGGGCCUCGACCCUCAGAGGCAGCAGCAGAAACAAGUAACACAGACUCCAGAGUCCAAGGUCUCAUCCCAAAAGAGUGAUGGCAUCUCAUAUGUCUGCUGUGUCCACUCAAGACCCAGGAACCACUUACUGUGGCGAGGAGACCUCACUCCGCCCUAAGACGAGAGUCCUUUGUCACUCAAUGCAGAGGAAGGACACAUGAGACAUUGGUGACAUACUCAUCUCUGGUGUCCACCCCUCUGUGCCUCUGCACUGUCACUCCCCUGCCGGAAGACUCAACUCCAAGGAUUCUUCCCUGCCAGACUUUCUCCUCAGAGUUCCCAUAGAAACCUGCCCUGCACUGCUGGCCUCAUGUGGACAUUCCAGACCCCCUCUGACCCCACCCUGCUUUGCUUUUGUUCACAACCCUUUUACCAACAUUACAGAAUAUGUUUAUGUUAAUUGCCAAGUCUCAAUCCUAUAGAAUACAAGCUUUGUGAGGGUAAACACAGGGAUUUUAA